rnacentral:rRNA from 1 species
AUUGAACGCUGGCGGCAUGCCUUACACAUGCAAGUCGAACGGCAGCACGGGUGCUUGCACCUGGUGGCGAGUGGCGAACGGGUGAGUAAUACAUCGGAACGUACCUUAUCGUGGGGGAUAACGCAGCGAAAGCUGUGCUAAUACCGCAUACGCCCUGAGGGGGAAAGCGGGGGAUCGCAAGACCUCGCGCGAUUAGAGCGGCCGAUGCCUGAUUAGCUUGUUGGUGGGGUAAAAGCCCACCAAGGCGACGAUCAUUAGCUAGUCUGAGAGGACGGUCAGCCACACUGGGACUGAGAAACGGCCCAGACUCCGACGGGAGGCAGCAGUGGGGAAUUUUGGACAAUGGGGGCAACCCUGAUCCAGCAAUGCCGCGUGAGUGAAGAAGGCCUUCGGGUUGUAAAGCUCUUUUGUCAGGGAAGAAACACCGGCUCUAACACAGUCCGGGAAUGACGGUACCUGAAGAAUAAGCACCGGCUAACUACGUGCCAGCAGCCGCAGUAA